AGCCUUUGGAAAAUUGUUAUGUGCUCUCAAGGGUUUUUCUUUUUUUGAAGAAUGCUGCUGCAGAAUUACCAGUGAGGAGGUCUAGGAGGCCUACGCGUCAACAGAGUUCAGAGUGCAGUGGUGAAGGUGACUCAAGCAGCUCAUGGACUUGACUGGUUCUGGAGAUUCCAUGCAUGAGGAGCACCACUGUUGCUCACAGUGGCUAACUAAUCCAGUUGGAGAUGAUUCAGGCUUUGCAUGCUCAACAGUAAGUCAACCCCAAACCAGCAAGUGGUUGUCUGCCCUUCUGCCUCUCUUCCUAGUUCCCUUCUUAUCUAUUUUCUUAAAUUUUUAAAUUGUUUAAAAUUUAUUAUUGAAAUAUAAUUGACAUACAAUGCUAUAUUUGUGUACAUUGAUUUGACAACUCUAUAUAUUACCCACUGCUUACCAUGGUAAGUAUGUCACCAUGCAUUGUUACAAUAUUACUGACUAUAUUCCACAUGUGUACUUUUCAUCUCUGUAACUUAUUUACUGUAUAACUGGAAGUUUCAUCUCUUCAUCUCCUUCACCUAUUUUGUCCAUCCC
rnacentral:lncRNA from 1 species